ACGCACGCUGGCGGCGUGCUUAACACAUGCCAGUCGCACGGAAAGGCCCUGCUUUUGUGGGGUGCUCGAGUGGCGAACGGGUGAGUAACACGUGAGUAACCUGCCCUUGACUUUGGGAUAACUUCAGGAAACUGGGGCUAAUACCGGAUAGGAGCUCCUGCUGCAUGGUGGGGGUUGGAAAGUUUCGGCGGUUGGGGAUGGACUCGCGGCUUAUCAGCUUGUUGGUGGGGUAGUGGCUUACCAAGGCUUUGACGGGUAGCCGGCCUGAGAGGGUGACCGGCACCAUGGGACUGAGAUACGGCCCAGACUCCUACGGGAGGCAGCAGUGGGGAAUAUUGCACAAUGGGCGGAAGCCUGAUGCAGCAACGCCGCGUGCGGGAUGACGGCCUUCGGGUUGUAAACCGCUUUCGCCUGUGACGAAGCGUGAGUGACGGUAAUGGGUAAAGAAGCACCGGCUAACUACGUG
rnacentral:rRNA from 1 species